GCUGCCUCACUGAAGACUUGCAAGUGUGGCUGGUGUGCUGUGUUUGCAAAAUAGAGAGGCAGAGAGAGAGAGAAAGCAGCUAUGUCUACGCUCAGUACCCUGUCAGCAGUGGGUACUCAGAAUGAUUGAUAGCUGUACAGU